GUGCUCCCUUCAGCAGCACAUAUACUAAAAAACAGGAAUAAUACAGAGAAGAUUAGCAUGGCCCCUGAACAAGGAUUACACAAAUUUGUGAAGCAUUCCAUAUUUUU
rnacentral:snRNA from 1 species